rnacentral:rRNA from 1 species
GUUUGACUCCGUGGCUCAGGACGAACGCUGGCGGCGUGCUUAACACAUGCAAGUCGAACGGUAAGGCCCUUCGGGGUACACGAGUGGUGAACGGGUGAGUAACACGUGGGUGAUCUGCCCUGCACUUCGGGAUAAGCCUGGGAAACUGGGUCUAAUACCGGAUAGGACUCCUGGCUUCAUGGUUGGGGGUGUAAAGCUUUUGCGGUGUGGGAUGGGCCCGCGGCCUAUCAGCUUGUUGGUGGGGUAAUGGCCUACCAAGGCGACGACGGGUAGCCGGCCUGAGAGGGUGACCGGCCACACUGGGACUGAGAUACGGCCCAGACUCCUACGGGAGGCAGCAGUGGGGAAUAUUGCACAAUGGGCGCAAGCCUGAUGCAGCGACGCCGCGUGAGGGAUGACGGCCUUCGGGUUGUAAACCUCUUUCAAUAGGGACGAAGCGCAAGUGACGGUACCUAUAGAAGAAGGACCGGCCAACUACGUG